GAUGAACGCUAGCUACAGGCUUAACACAUGCAAGUCGAGGGGCAGCAUGAACUUAGCUUGCUAAGUUUGAUGGCGACCGGCGCACGGGUGAGUAACACGUAUCCAACCUGCCGAUGACUCGGGGAUAGCCUUUCGAAAGAAAGAUUAAUACCCGAUGGCAUAGUUCUUCCGCAUGGUAGAACUAUUAAAGAAUUUCGGUCAUCGAUGGGGAUGCGUUCCAUUAGGUUGUUGGCGGGGUAACGGCCCACCAAGCCUUCGAUGGAUAGGGGUUCUGAGAGGAAGGUCCCCCACAUUGGAACUGAGACACGGUCCAAACUCCUACGGGAGGCAGCAGUGAGGAAUAUUGGUCAAUGGACGAGAGUCGGAACCAGCCAAGUAGCGUGAAGGAUGACUGCCCUAUGGGUUGUAAACUUCUUUUAUACGGGAAUAAAGUGAGGCACGUGUGCCUUUUUGUAUGUACCGUAUGAAUAAGGAUCGGCUAACUCCGUG
rnacentral:rRNA from 1 species